AGAGUUUGAUCCUGGCUCAGGACGAACGCUGGCGGCGUGCCUAAUACAUGCAAGUCGAGCGAGCUUGCCUAGAUGAUUUUAGUGCUUGCACUAAAUGAAACUAGAUACAAGCGAGCGGCGGACGGGUGAGUAACACGUGGGUAACCUGCCCAAGAGACUGGGAUAACACCUGGAAACAGAUGCUAAUACCGGAUAACAACACUAGACGCAUGUCUAGAGUUUGAAAGAUGGUUCUGCUAUCACUCUUGGAUGGACCUGCGGUGCAUUAGCUAGUUGGUAAGGUAACGGCUUACCAAGGCAAUGAUGCAUAGCCGAGUUGAGAGACUGAUCGGCCACAUUGGGACUGAGACACGGCCCAAACUCCUACGGGAGGCAGCAGUAGGGAAUCUUCCACAAUGGACGAAAGUCUGAUGGAGCAACGCCGCGUGAGUGAAGAAGGGUUUCGGCUCGUAAAGCUCUGUUGGUAGUGAAGAAAGAUAGAGGUAGUAACUGGCCUUUAUUUGACGGUAAUUACUUAGAAAGUCACGGCUAACUACGUGCCAGCAGCCGCGGUAAUACGUAGGUGGCAAGCGUUGUCCGGAUUUAUUGGGCGUAAAGCGAGUGCAGGCGGUUCAAUAAGUCUGAUGUGAAAGCCUUCGGCUCAACCGGAGAAUUGCAUCAGAAACUGUUGAA
rnacentral:rRNA from 1 species